rnacentral:rRNA from 1 species
ACGGCCGCGGUACUCUGACCGUGCAAAGGUAGCAUAAUCAUUUGCCCUAUAACUGAGGGCUAGUAUGAAGGGUUUGACGAGGGCUGUCCUCUCUCUGUGAAAGUAAAUAGAAGUUAUUCUUUAGGUGAAGAACCCUAAAUAAAAUUAAAAGACAAGAAGACCCUAUCGAGCUUAAAAGUCUUUGUGAAACAAAAAGUACUCCCAGUAUCUUCCUUCAUAAAGAAUUUUUGGUUGGGGCGACUAAGGAACAAAAAAAGCUUCUUCUUUUAAAACAUACCAUAAUUGACCCACAUCUCAUUGUGAUUAAAAAACUUAGUUACCGUAGGGAUAACAGCAUAAUCUUUUUUGAGAGUUCUCAUCGAAAAGAAGGUUUGUGACCUCGAUGUUGGACUAGAAUAUCCUGAUAGGUCAGAAGCCUUCAAG